UGCCAGACUCCUACGGGAGGCAGCAGUGGGGAAUAUUGCACAAUGGGGGAAACCCUGAUGCAGCGACGCCGCGUGAGUGAAGAAGUAUUUCGGUAUGUAAAGCUCUAUCAGCAGGGAAGAAAAUGACGGUACCUGACUAAGAAGCCCCGGCUAACUACGUGCCAGCAGCCGCGGUAAUACGUAGGGGGCAAGCGUUAUCCGGAUUUACUGGGUGUAAAGGGAGCGUAGACGGCAGCGCAAGCCAGGAGUGAAAGCCCGGGGCCCAACCCCGGGACUGCUCUUGGAACUGCGCGGCUGGAGUGCAGGAGGGGCAGGCGGAAUUCCUGGUGUAGCGGUGAAAUGCGUAGAUAUCAGGAGGAACACCGGUGGCGAAGGCGGCCUGCUGGACUGCGACUGACGUUGAGGCCCGAAAGCGUGGGGAGCAAACAGGAUUAGAUACCCCGGUAGA
rnacentral:rRNA from 1 species